UGGGGAAUCUUGCACAAUGGAGGAAACUCUGAUGCAGCGAUGCCGCGUAAAUGAAGAAAGCCCUUGGGUUGUAAAGCUCUUUCGUCGAAAAAGAAAAUGACUGUACCCGAAUAAGAAGGUCCGGCUAACUUCGUGCCAGCAGCCGCGGUAAUACGAAGGGACCUAGCAUAGUUCGGAAUUACUGGGCUUAAAGAGUUCGUAAAUGGUUGAAAAAGUUGGUGGUGAAAUCCCAGAGCUUAACUCUGGAACUGCCAUCAAAACUUUUCAGCUAGAGUAUGAUAGAAGAAAGUAGAAUUUCUAGUGUAGAGGUGAAAUUCGUAGAUAUUAAAAAGAAUACCAAUUGCGAAGGCAGCUUUCUGGAUCAUUACUGACACUGAGGAACGAAAGCAUGGGUAGCGAAGAGG
rnacentral:rRNA from 1 species